rnacentral:lncRNA from 1 species
CUCUGUGGCUUGUCUUUUUUGCCUGCAGGUGCCAUAGGUACUGCGACCAUUCUGCAUCUGGCAGGACACGAGUCCCGAUUCACGUUCACAGCCAGCAGUUCAUGUGGCCGAGGUAUUUUGUUAGCUCCAUAGUAUUCAACACACUCCAUGGUUCAUGUUAUGGGAAGACGCAGAGGAAGCAGGACAAGUGCGGGGAGGACAGACACCUCUUCUCCCUCUCCCUGGUUCAGAGACAAAGGAAUCUGAAAUCACCUAGAAUAAAAUGA